CGGGGUGUAGCUCAGUUGGUUAGAGUACUGGUCUGGUGGACCAGGAGUCGGAAGUUCGAGUCUUCUCACCCCGA
rnacentral:tRNA from 1 species